UGUUGAUCCUGGCUCAGGAUGAACGCUAGCGGCAGGCUUAACACAUGCAAGUCGAGGGGUAUAGUUCUUCGGAAUUAGAGACCGGCGCACGGGUGCGUAACGCGUAUGCAAUCUACCUUUUACAGAGGGAUAGCCCAGAGAAAUUUGGAUUAAUACCUCAUAGUAUAAUGACUUGGCAUCAAGACAUUAUUAAAGUCACAACGGUAAAAGAUGAGCAUGCGUCCCAUUAGCUAGUUGGUAAGGUAACGGCUUACCAAGGCUACGAUGGGUAGGGGUCCUGAGAGGGAGAUCCCCCACACUGGUACUGAGACACGGACCAGACUCCUACGGGAGGCAGCAGUGAGGAAUAUUGGACAAUGGGCGCAAGCCUGAUCCAGCCAUGCCGCGUGCAGGAUGACGGUCCUAUGGAUUGUAAACUGCUUUUAUACGAGAAGAAACACUACUUCGUGAAGUAGCUUGACGGUAUCGUAAG
rnacentral:rRNA from 1 species